UGGGGAAUUUUGGACAAUGGGCGAAAGCCUGAUCCAGCAAUGCCGCGUGUGUGAAGAAGGCCUUCGGGUUGUAAAGCACUUUUGUCCGGAAAGAAAUCCUUGGCUCUAAUACAGUCGGGGGAUGACGGUACCGGAAGAAUAAGCACCGGCUAACUACGUGCCAGCAGCCGCGGUAAUACGUAGGGUGCAAGCGUUAAUCGGAAUUACUGGGCGUAAAGCGUGCGCAGGCGGUUUGCUAAGACCGAUGUGAAAUCCCCGGGCUCAACCUGGGAACUGCAUUGGUGACUGGCAGGCUAGAGUAUGGCAGAGGGGGGUAGAAUUCCACGUGUAGCAGUGAAAUGCGUAGAGAUGUGGAGGAAUACCGAUGGCGAAGGCAGCCCCCUGGGCCAAUACUGACGCUCAUGCACGAAAGCGUGGGGGAGCAAACAGGAUUAGAUACCCUGGUAGUCCACGCCCUAAAACGAUGUCAACUAGUUGUUGGGGAUUCAUUUCCUUAGUAACGUAGCUAACGCGUGAAGUUGACCGCCUGGGGAGUACGGUCGCAAGAUUAAAACUCAAAGGAAUUGAC
rnacentral:rRNA from 1 species